UUCUUCAGUCAGAUUUUGAUGGUACAGCAAAGGAUAUUUGUAAAAUCCCUGUAAAUGAGUUCAUCGACAGUGUGGUUUUGCUACAUUUGUAUACUGUAUUUGUCUGAGAUAAUUUAAUUUAAGACCGUGAUACAAGAAAACUAACUCAAAAAUCAUAAAUGCGAUCUGGUCCUUCUUGAGAAGAUACUUUCCUCUUUUCCUGGAACGUCAAGACAUUUUUGAAGAGGAAAAAUACACACCCGAGCACAUAGUUUCUUAACCAAAAGACGUCUGUUUCAAACUUCUGCGCU
rnacentral:lncRNA from 1 species